rnacentral:rRNA from 1 species
AUUGAACGCUGGCGGCAUGCUUUACACAUGCAAGUCGAACGGCAGCGCGGGCUUCGGCCUGGCGGCGAGUGGCGAACGGGUGAGUAAUGCAUCGGAACGUGCCCAGUAGUGGGGGAUAGCCCGGCGAAAGCCGGAUUAAUACCGCAUACGACCUGAGGGUGAAAGCGGGGGACCGAAAGGCCUCGCGCUAUUGGAGCGGCCGAUGUCGGAUUAGCUAGUUGGUGGGGUAAAGGCUUACCAAGGCGACGAUCCGUAGCUGGUCUGAGAGGACGACCAGCCACACUGGGACUGAGACACGGCCCAGACUCCUACGGGAGGCAGCAGUGGGGAAUUUUGGACAAUGGUGGCAACCCUGAUCCAGCCAUGCCGCGUGCGGGAAGGAGGCCUUCGGGUUGUAAACCGCUUUUGUUGGGGAAGAAAUCCUCUGGGCUAAUACCCCGGGGGGAUGACGGUACCGGAAGAAUAAGCACCGGCUAACUACGUG